rnacentral:snRNA from 1 species
GUGCUUGCUUUGGCAUCAUAUACACUAAAAUUCGAAUGAUACAGAGUAACGUGGCCCCUGUGCAAGAAUGAAACAAAUUCAUGAAGAGAAAGGAAAUUGGUGU